ACUCCUACGGGAGGCAGCAGUGGGGAAUAUUGCACAAUGGGCGCAAGCCUGAUGCAGCCAUGCCGCGUGAUGUGAAGAAGGGCCUUCGGGUUGAUAAAGCACUUUCAGUCGUGAGGAAGGUAGUGUAGUUAAUAGCUUGCAUUAUUUUGACGUUAGCGAACAGAAGAAGCACCGGCUAACUCCGUGCCAGCAGCCGCGGUAAUACGGAGGGUGCGGAGCGUUAAUCGGAAUUACUGGGCGUAAAGCGCAUGCAGGUGGUUUGUUAAGUCAGAUGUGAAAGCCCGGGGCUCAACCUCGGAAUUGCAUUUGAAACUGGCAGACUAGAGUACUGUAGAGGGGGGUAGAAUUUCAGGUGUAGCGGUGAAAUGCGUAGAGAUCUGAAGGAAUACCGGUGGCGAAGGCGGCCCCCCUGGGACAAGAUACUGACACUCAGAUGCGAAAGCGU
rnacentral:rRNA from 1 species